rnacentral:rRNA from 1 species
AAGCUCGUAGUUGAAUUUCGAGAUCAAAUUGUUGGUCGUGCCUUGGUACGUACUGGCAUUAUUGGUUUCUCCCUUCUGAAGAACCAUGAUGUCAUUAAUUUGGUGUCAUGGGAAAUCAGGACUGUUACUUUGAAAAAAUUAGAGUGUUUAAAGCAGGCUCGCGCUUGAAUACAUUAGCAUGGAAUAAUGAAAUAGGACGUUUAAUUCUAUUUUGUUGGUUUCUAGGAUUGACGUAAUGAUUAAUAGGGAUAGUUGGG